rnacentral:rRNA from 1 species
CCUACGGGUGGCAGCAGUGGGGGAUAUUGCACAAUGGGGGAAACCCUGAUGCAGCGACGCCGCGUGUGGGAAGACGGUCCUCUGGAUUGUAAACUACAUUCCCCAGGGACGAAGAUGACGGUACCGGGGGAGGAAGCUCCGGCUAAUAACGUGCCAGCAGCCGCGGUAAUACGUAGGGGGCGAGCGUUGUCCGGAAUUACGGGGUGUAAAGGGAGCGUGGGGGGGACAGCAAGUUGGGUGGCAAAUCUAACGGCUAAACCGGUAACAGCACUCAAGACUGCAGGUCUUGAGUGAAGGAGAGGCAUGCGGAAUUCCUAGUGUAGCGGUGAAAUGCGUAGAUAUUAGGAGGAACACCAGUGGCGAAGGCGGCCUACUGGGCUUUAACUGACGCUGAGGCUCGAAAGUGUGGGGAGCAAACAGGAUUAGAUACCCCUGUAGUC